rnacentral:lncRNA from 1 species
AUGGAGACAUGGCCGGAGCCGGGCCACCAGGAACAGAUGCAGGCGUGGCCGGAGCCGGGCCACCAGGAACUGAUGCAGGCGUGGCCGGAGCCGGGCCACCAGGAACCGAUGCAGGCGUGGCCGGUGCCGGGCCCCCAGGAACCGAUGCAGGCGUGGCAGGUGCCAAGCCACCAGGAACCGAUGCAGAUGCGGCAGGCACCGGACCACCAGGAGCGGAGACGAGCGUGGCCGGGACUGGACCACCAAGAGCGGAGACGAGCGUGGCCGGGACCGGACCACCAUGAGCGGAGACAAGCGUGGCCGGGACCGGACCACCAGGAGCUGAGGCAGAUGCGAUCUGUGCCAGAUCACCAGGAAUCGCUGCAGAUGCGGGCGGUGCUGGACCACCAAGAGCUGCACCUGCACACAUUGACCCAAAAAACACGGGAACCAGAAGCGGGCCGACCACCUCCCGCCCACCGGGGACUGGAACAUCAGGAGCUGAAGCUGGGACGACCUCCUCAUCCUGGAGGCCAGCAGGAAAUGAAGCUGGACCGACCUCCUCAUCCUGGAGACCGGCAGGAAACAAAGCUGGACCGACCUCCUCCGGGAGGCCAGCAGGAGACAGAAACGCGGGAAAUGCGGCAGGCGCUGCGGCAGGAGCGACCCCCUCCUAGGGAUCAUCGGGAACCGCGGCAGGCGCUGCGGCAGGCGCUGCGGCAGGUGCUGCGGCAGGCGCCUCUCCGAGGCCGACAGUGGCAGGAAGUAGAACGACCUCAACCGGGAGGUCGACCGGAACUGGAACAACCUCAAUUGGGAGGUCGACAUGAACUGGAACGACCUCAACCGGGAGGUCGACAUGAACUGGAACGACCUCAACCGGGAGGUCGACAUGAACUGGAACAACCUCAACCGGGAGGUCGACAGGAACUGGAACGACCCCAACAGGGAGGUCGACAGGGACUGGAGCCUGGUUUGGCUGGCAAGGGGUGUCCACUAGCUGGCGUAAAGCUGGAGCUUGAGCUUGACGUGGCUGAGCUGAGGCUUGAGCUGGAGCUUGAGCUUGAGCUUGCGCUUGAGCUUGACGUGGCUAAGUUAAGGCUAAGGCAGGAGUGGCUGCAGCCUGAGACGCUGGAGUGGCUGCAGCCUGAGACGCUGGAGUGGCUGCAGCCUGAGACGCUGGAGUGGCUGCAGCCUGAGACGCUGGAGUGGCUGCAGCCUGAGACGCUGGAGUGGCUGCAGCCUGAGACGCUGGAGUGGCUGCAGCCUGAGACGCUGGAGUGGCUGCAGCCUGAGACGCUGGGGCCAGUGGUGCAGCCUGAGAUGCUGGGGCCAGUGAUGCAGCCUGAGAUGCUGGGGCCAGUGAUGCAGACAGAGACGCUGGGGCCAGUGAUGCAGACAGAGACGCUGGGGCCAGUGAUGCAGCCAGAGACGCUGGGACCAGUGCAGGCUGAGAUGCAGGAACGGAUGCAGGAUGAGACGCAGGAACGGAUGCAGGCUGAGACGCAGGAACGGAUGCAGGCUGAGACGCAGGAACGGAUGCAGGCUGAGACGCAGGAACGGAUGCAGGCUGAGACGCAGGAACGGAUGCAGGCUGAGACGCAGGAACGAGUGCGGGCUUAG